rnacentral:pre_miRNA from 1 species
AUACAGGAAAAUCUGUCCUUAAGUAGGGAUUAAAAAAAAAGAAUCCUUAGAUAGUUUUCCCUUCAAGACAAGCAUCUUGU